rnacentral:rRNA from 1 species
UACGUAGGGUGCAAGCGUUGUCCGGAAUUAUUGGGCGUAAAGAGCUCGUAGGCGGUCUGUCGCGUCUGCUGUGAAAACUCAGGGCUUAACCCUGAGCUUGCAGUGGGUACGGGCAGACUAGAUUGCGGUAGGGGAGACUGGAAUUCCUGGUGUAGCGGUGAAAUGCGCAGAUAUCAGGAGGAACACCGGUGGCGAAGGCGGGUCUCUGGGCCGUAACUGACGCUGAGGAGCGAAAGCAUGGGGAGCGAACAGG